UGCUGACAGUGUUUCUCAGUCAGAGAGAAACACAAAGGAAAUUAUCUUGUAUUAUGUCCUCCCUGCUGCGGUUGGGGGAAUUUGUGUCAUUGUGGGGAUCUGCUGUGCGCUCCACUUACUUCGGAAACGAAAAAGGCAAAAUUACGAAGACGACGGCGAUGUCAGUGGUGAACAGGCUGAAGUUGUACGAAGAGUCCGGAGAAACGAGAGCAGGCAGUAUUUGGAGAAAACGAACUCGGUCUACGGACGUUAACAUGAUGAGGACGUAGAGCGAAAAGGGUCACUUUUGCUUUCAACUUCCAUUAAUUGCUGGAGUAUAAAAGAAAGCUUUCUCCUUAAACGAGAGCUUUCUGUCUGCAAUACUCGAAGAUCCUUGAAUCCAGGCUUCCUGUAACGAUGAAGUUAUUUUCCACGACGCGUCUCUGAUCCUCAGUCCAGCGAACUGCCGACCGACGC